rnacentral:rRNA from 1 species
AGUGAACGCUGGCGGUAGGCCUAACACAUGUAAGUCGAACGGCAGCACAGUAAGAGCUUGCUCUUACGGGUGGCGAGUGGCGGACGGGUGAGGAAUACAUCGGAAUCUACUUUUUCGUGGGGGAUAACGUAGGGAAACUUACGCUAAUACCGCAUACGACCUACGGGUGAAAGCAGGGGAUCUUCGGACCUUGCGCGAUUGAAUGAGCCGAUGUCGGAUUAGCUAGUUGGCGGGGUAAAGGCCCACCAAGGCGACGAUCCGUAGCUGGUCUGAGAGGAUGAUCAGCCACACUGGAACUGACACACGGUCCAGACUCCUACGGGAGGCAGCAGUGGGGAAUAUUGGACAAUGGGUGCAAGCCUGAUCCAGCCAUACCGCGUGGGUGAAGAAGGCCUUCGGGUUGUAAAGCCCUUUUGUUGGGAAAGAAAAGCAGCAGGUUAAUACCCCGCUGUUCUGACGGUACCCAAAGAAUAAGCACCGGCUAACUUCGUG